AUGGAGAGAUUUUUGGUGAGCGCGUCCACGGGAGCGAUGUCUUCGCUCUUGGGGAAGUUGGCCACCAUCAUUAGCGAUGAAUUCAAGCUGCUCAAGGGUGUCCGUGCUGACAUCAGGUUUCUGAAAGAUGAGCUUGAGGCCAUGCAAGCAUUCCUUAUGGUGAUGGCAGACAUAGAGGAACCUGACAAGCAAACUAAGCUUCGUGCGGAUGCUGUGCGAGAGAUGUCCUACGAGAUCGAGGACAACAUCGACAAGUUCAUGGUACUGGUUGAACGUGAGCCCAGAUCUGAGUCUGAUGGGUUCGCGAAACUUUUCAACAGUAGUACGAAGAAGAUAGGAGACAUCAAGAUCCGCCAUAAGAUUGCCAAGGAUGUCAAGGACAUCAAAAACCAAGUCAAAGAGGUCAACAAGAGAUACGCAAGGUACAAGAUCGAUGAAUCUUCCAGGCCUAGAGUUGAAAAGACUGACCCUCGACUUCGCGCCAUCUAUAAGGACACAUCAGAGCUUAUUGGCAUCGAAGGACCGAGAGAUGAUAUUGUCCAAUGGUUGAGCAACGAAAAAGGUGAAUCAGUGCAUCAGUUAAAAGUUGUCUCUAUCGUUGGAUAUGGGGGAUUAGGCAAGACCACUCUUGCCAGACAGGUGUACGAGAAGCUUGGAUCAAAUUACAAAUGUCGGGCAUUUGUGUCAAUUUCACGUACUCCUGACAUGACAAAAAUCUUGAGUUCUAUAUUAUCUCAACUUCGCAACCAAGAUCAUGCUCAUGUAGGGGAUACACAACUCAUCAUCGAACAAAUCAGAAACUUUUUGAAAGAUAAAAGGUACUUCAUCGUAAUUGACGAUGUAUGGGAUGUGCAAACAUGGCAAGCUAUGGAGUGUGCACUGGUCAGGAACAGUUGUGGUAGUUUAAUAAUGACCACAACACGUAUAAAUGAUGUAGCUAAAUCUUGCUGCUCAUCUGAUAAGGAUCUUGUCUACAAGAUCCAACCACUUAAUGAUGUUCACUCAAAGAAGUUGUUUUUCAAGAGAAUAUUUGGUUCAGAAGAAAAGUGUCCCGCUAACUUGAAAGAAGCCUCGGAAGGUAUUGUAAAAAGAUGUGGUGGUUUACCAUUGGCCCUCAAUGCCAUAUCUAGCUUAUUGGCUACUGGGAAAACAAAACAAGAGUGGGAUCAUGUUCAAAGUUCUAUUGGCUUUGCUCGUGGCAAAAAUUAUGAGAUUGAUGCCAUGAAUUACAUAUUACUAAGCUACUUUGACCUUCCCCUCCAUCUAAGAAGUUGCCUAUUGUACCUGACCAUGUUUCCUGAAGAUUAUGAGAUUCAAAAGGAGCGGCUAGUGCACAGAUGGAUGGCCGAAGGUUUCAUCCGUGGUGAAGAUGGGGAAGAUCUCGUUGAACUAGGAGAAGCAUAUUUUCAUGAGCUUAUUAACAGAAGUUUAAUACAGGAAGUGGGCAUAGGGUAUGAUGGCAAGGCACAAGCUUGCCGAGUUCAUGACACUGUCCUUGAUUUCCUCAUUUACAAGUCCACCCAUGAGAACUUCUGUACCUUGCUGAGCACCCAUUCAAAGACAGAUAGCAGAGUUCGUCGGUUAUCUCUGAUGGGAGAUGAUGAUCAAGGAAAUCUGGAGCAGCUAGAUUUGUCACAUGCUCGAUCACUUGGUGCUUUUGGGAAAUCACGAGAAUAUUUGCCUUCCCUCGUGAAGUUAAAUGCCCUGCGCGUGUUGGACGUAUUUCAUUGUCAUGCAUUUAAAAAUCAUCAUAUCAAAGAUAUUGGAAGACUUUUUCAGCUGAGGUACUUGAAUCUCUGUUGGACAGUAAUAUCUGAGCUUCCUAGUCAGAUUGGAGACCUAAAGUUUCUGGAGACGCUUGAUGUCUUCGGCACAAAAUUAUCUCAUCUUCCUCAAUCAGUUACUCAGUUAAGACGCCUAGCACGGCUAUUUGUUCCAGCAGGACUGAAAUUGCCUGAUGGGAUUGGAAACAUGACGAGCUUGCAAGAGAUUAAGGACAUAAACACAUUUGUGCAAUCAGAGAAUGUUCUGGAAGAUCUGGGAAAUCUAACAGAUAUGAGGAAGCUGAAAAUUACCUGGGACUCAGCUAAAUCUGACAAAGCAAGUUCGAAGGAAAAAAUUUUAGUGUCCUCCCUCUGUAAACUGGACCAGUUCAAGCUUCGUAACCUGGUAGUUUCGAUCUUUUUGGCAGAAAAUGAUUUGACAUUCAUACGACAUCCGUUUUUUCCUUCUCUACAUAGCAUCAGAGCGAUUUUUCUUCGCCGUGGGCAACUCCGUUGGAUUUCCAAAUGGCUUAUUUCACUUGCCAACCUGGAAAAUCUAGGUGUGGACGCGGAGGAGAUAGAGCAGCAGGAUGUUGAGAUGGUUGGAAGCAUCCCUACUCUGCUGGAAUACAAUCAGUUCUCUCAAUGCGCAGGACCCGUCAUCAUCAGGGGAGGAUUUCAACAGUUACAAAGUCUUGAGUUCGUGUUGACAGUCAGUGGUGGGUUGAUGUUUGAAGUGGGGGCUAUGCCGAACCUGAAGACGUUUUACCUCCAUAUUUUCAUACAUAAGUUUAAACCUGGUGGUUUUGAUUUUGGCAUCCAGCACCUCUCGAGCCUUGCUUUUCUCCGUGUCGGCAUAUUUUGUGGUGGCGUAAGGGCUGCAGAUGUGGAGGCUGCGGAGGGUGCUUUCAAGAGCAUGACCGACGCACACCCUAACCGUCCUACACUGGAAACUAGUAGAAGACGCACAGAGGACAUGCUACAGGAUGAGUAA
rnacentral:rRNA from 1 species